rnacentral:rRNA from 1 species
UUUAGUAAUUGCGAAUGAACAAGGAUAUGCUUAGCUUGACAAAUGGAGCUAUUGGCUUUGAAUUGUAUUGUGGAAAUGUAUUACCAACAGAGGUGCAGGUGCCAGCCUAUUGAAAUAAAGCGUCAAUGAGGGUGAGAAUCCUGUUUGUCAUGUGCAGCCCUUUGUGCACGGUGUAUAUUUGCUGAGUCACACUCCUUGGCAUUGGAAUGCAAAGUGGGUGGUAAGUUUCAUGUAAAGGUAAACAUGCAAUUGAGACUGAUAGCACACAAGUACCAUGAGGGAAAUAUGAAAAGGACUUUGAAAAGAGAAUUAAAUGAGUUUGUAUUUGCUGAACACAAAGUAAACAGACUUGAUUUGCUUGGUGGGAGUGUUGCACUUGCUUGACAAGAGCUUUGGGCUGUGGGUGUAAUGAUUCUUUCUUUGCAUGCCAGUUUCUAUUUGUACAUCUGAUUACCUUUGCACAUGAAUGAUAAGUCUCCUGUGGGGGGUGGAUUGCAUGUGCAUGUAAUGAUUUGUGUUUUGAUAAAUGUGUCUGGUGUAUGUGUGUGUUCCUGUGCUUGGGGAUGCUUCCUUCCUUGGACUUACAAGCCCUGACACACACAUGCUGGCAAAAUGCUUCUGCUUGACCCGUCUUGAAACACGGACCAAGGAGUCUAACAGAUGUGCAAAGUUUGAAGGUGGUAUACCUUUGUGUGCAAUGAAAGUGUCAGCUGGGAUAUGUGCACCAGCACCCAAUUAAUUAGCGGACAGAGGUUUGAGUUGGAGCAUAUCUAUUAGGACCCGAAAGAUGGUGAACUAUGCCUGAACAGAAUGAAUUCAGAGGAAACUCUGAUGGAGGUUCGUAUCGAUACUGACGUGCAAAUCGUUCGUCAUAUUUGGGUAUAGGGGCGAAAGACUAAUCGAACCAUCUAGUAGCUGGUUCCCUCCGAAGUUUCCCUCAGGAUAGCUGGAGUUGCUCAGUUUUAUCAGGUAAAGCGAAUGAUUAGAGGAAUUGGGGACAGGUUUGUCUUUGACCUAUUCUCAAACUUUAAAUGGGUAAUAUGUAGUGGUUGCUGUAUGGAACUUCUAAGAUAAAUGGC